AGCAAUUUGACGCAGCGGAAGCGUGCAGGGCUCAUACGAUCGUCCCGGUCGCAGCGACACCCUGAAGUCCCUAGAUCGAAACUAGGAAUUGCUA